CCUACAGGAGGAUAGUUAUCCAGGAACAGAGUUGGAGAGCCCUGCUUUAGUGUGUGCAGACAGUAUAGUCAGUGGUGGAGGAGAGAGGGUGUAGAGUGACACACACAGCAUUUGAUUUGAUGUUAGCUGCUGGUGAUGGGCAGGACUCACAGGAGGUCUCAGCAGGACCAAAGAAGAGCCCAUGCCUCAGCCCCCAGCACCCAGCCCUCCAUCCCCUAGACCCCAGGAUGGAGCAGAGAGGAUGGAGCUACAGUCAAACCCACAGUGAGAUAGGACAUCCUGAAGGCUGCCUGCAUGUUGCUCUGAGCAAAGAACUGAUUGGCAGACAGGCCUGGGCAGGAGUAUUUCCAUUUCUUAAUUUGUUCCAUGGCAUCUUGAUAUCCUCCAUGACUACAGCCGGGAGUGUUUCCUGUACAUGUGACCUAGGAAGGAAACACUAAGGCCCCACCCAUGACAACUGACAAAGAGGAAAGGGAAAUGUACAGUAGUCUACAAGCUUCGCUCGGUCAACAUUACAAUUCCAAGAUCCACCCCUAGGCGUAUGACUAAGCCAACAGACCAGACAGCCCCUCAUCAGUCAGAGCAUGUCAGCCCCAAGGUGCCCAGCAGGGGAGCAGCAACCUGGUACCCAUUCUAAUUGCUACCAGUUCAACAGAGAGAGAGAGGAAUGGAGGAAGAGACUGGAGGCAGGGUCAGAGGGGACACUCCCUGUCACGCUCCACCAGGCAUGUGUGUCCGUCCGGCCCUGGAUGCUGUUCCGUUGUCACAUGGCAGAACCAGUGGUGGCCUCACGGCCUCCUCACAGCUGCACAGGAAGUGAGCCCCAGCAGGAGGGAGACAGUGACCCACAUCUGACCCACAACAAUAACAACAACAAUGCCUAGACUGCUUGGGUUCUUAAUAUGCCUUCUUUCUCCUCCUUCGCCUCCUAAGUCUACUGUCUCUACAUGUGGUCUGUAAAUGGAAUACCUACUGCAGCGCUGUUGGGGUUUGUUCUUAGAAUCUAAGAGAAUAUCAAAAGGAUUUGGUCAUAGCGAUUUGAUUAGAAUCCUUAUAGGCGACCACCAUCGUAUCUCACUUUUGUUAACGUUCAAUUAAACCUGCAUUGUAUAGUGUAAGGGUGAGCUAUUUGAUUUGCAUAAUGUUUGAAAUGAUUUGUGCUAACGGGUGAGGGAGGGAGGGAGAAA